AUACGUAGGGGGCGAGCGUUGUCCGGAAUGAUUGGGCGUAAAGGGCGCGUAGGCGGCCCGGUAAGUCUGGAGUGAAAGUCCUGUUUUUAAGAUGGGAAUUGCUUUGGAUACUGUCGGGCCUGAGUGCAGGAGAGGUAAGUGGAAUUCCCAGUGUAGCGGUGAAAUGCGUAGAGAUUGGGAGGAACACCAGUGGCGAAGGCGACUUACUGGACUGUAACUGACGCUGAGGCGCGAAAGUGUGGGGAGCAAACAGGAUUAGAUACCCUGGUAGUCCACACUGUAAACGAUGAAUGCUAGGUGUAGGGGGUAUCGACCCCUUCUGUGCCGCAGUCAACACAAUAAGCAUUCCGCCUGGGGAGUACGGCCGCAAGGUUGAAACUCAAAUGAAUUGGCGGGG
rnacentral:rRNA from 1 species